rnacentral:rRNA from 1 species
CGGGUCGCCGAAUAGAAAGCCCGGGGUGCGCCCCCAGGCCGCCCAUUCGAGCGCAGCCGCUGCGGGGAGAUCCUCGGCGCGCGGCCCGAGCAGGCGCCCGGGUGCGCGACCGAACAGCCGGACGGCGGCGGGUAGCACCGCAUGGAAGAACAACCACGCCUGCAAACGCGC